AUGGCUGCCACAAAUCUAUUGUGUUACUUCCACCGGCCUCCUCCUCUACCCAGCUCCUCGCAGCUGACCCACCGGCAAAGCUCGCUGCGGCGUGCUUCCUUUGGGGCCUCCUCCUCUACCCAGCUCCUCCUUGCUGACCCACAGGCAAGGCUGGAUGCGGGGCGCUGCCGGUGCUUGGUGUUGGUCGUUUAGGUGGUGCACAGUAGGAGCGGGGAGACUAUGUGCUGCGCGCGGCCGGGACGGCGCUGCCGCAUGCCUGCAGAAUCGCGAGCGACGGGGAGCGCUAAGAUAGCAAUCGUUUUUGCUACAACCAGCCGAAGCAGAGCUGGAACUGUUGUGGUGAGGCUGCGCCCUGGCACGAUGGCGUCGGCGGCGGGAGUGUCCACCGGAGCUGCAAGCAGGCGGAGCGAGGUAGACGGAGGCGGAGGAGAAGGCAGAGGCGGGAGGGCUCACCGGGAGGCAGAGGUGGAGUCAGGACGGAGUUAAUCCCGUGGGUGGACGAAACCGAAACGCCAGAUCGAACGGGUAUAAUCGCUAAAAUCGGACGGCUGCGUGUCGACCGGCCCAAAUUGAGCCGGUCGACCGGCGCCUAGUUCUCGCCUUUUCUUUUUGAGAACGUAUCCUCUUAGGUUGCAAGUGCGUAUUCUUCCAGGAAUUCGAUCAACCUGUUUGUAUGUUCCGUGUCCAUGUGCGACUGGACCUUCCCUUUUUCCUUAGGAAUAGAUUGGACCUUCCUUAGUUGGGUCUCGGCCUGAAUUUUUUAAUAGAAAAAGGCUAAUAUGCGUUGAACCAAUUACAUGUGCUAUACGACACCGUGACAACAUGACAUGUCAAACUCUUUGUAAAAAUAUCUAUAUGUAACGCUACAUCUUUAAAAUCUUAGCCGUUAAUAUUUAUCAUUUACGGCCGAGAUA